rnacentral:rRNA from 1 species
UUUAAAUACUUUUUAAAGUAUCAAUUGGAGGGCAAGUCUGGUGCCAGCAGCCGCGGUAAUUCCAGCUCCAAUAGCGUAUAUUAAAAUUGUUGCAGUUAAAAAGCUCGUAGUUGAAUUUUUGCUAAAAAUAACCGGUCUGCUUUUAUUAAUAAAAGUGGUAUCUUGGUUUGUUUUUAGCAAUAAUGUCCUUCAAAAUGUUUUUUACUUUAAUGUAAAGAGCAAUUUUCAGGAUUUUUACUUUGAGAAAAUUAGAGUGUUUCAAGCAGGCUAACGUUUUGAAUACUGCAGCAUGGAAUAAUAAAAUAGGAUUUUAGUUCUACGUUAUUGGUUUUAAGAACUAAAUUAAUGAUUGAUAGGAGCAGUUGGGGGCAUUUGUAUUUAACUGUCAGAGGUGAAAUUCUUAGAUUUGUUAAAGACACACUACUGCGAAAGCAUUUGCCAAAGAUGUUUUCAUUAAU